UUUGAUUAUGUUUAGAGUUUGAGACUGAUGUAUAUGUUUGAGUUUAGUCUUGUAGCAACGAGUGUUGUAUGUUGAUGUGUAUGUUUGAGUUUAGUUGAUGGAAGCUUUUUUUAGCUCUGUCUAAGCUAUGUGAUAAUGAAUUGCUUUAGUCUUAGUUUAGGUUUGUUCUGUGACUAGCUUGUAACUUGUAGACUGCUUUACAUGAUAGCUUGCGUAGAGUUCCAAGAUAGCUUGUGUGUGUUCUGUAAACAAGUUUGUAAAGUUCAGUGAAGGAAACACAUUACAUGUUUAGAUCCUUUCCUUUCAAGUAUUGUGUCUGUACGAAUAUUUCCUGAGACAUGAAUGUUACAUAGUAGCAGCAGCCAUGAUAAUAUUAUAUGAGUGUAUAUUACAUAGUAGCAGCAGCCAUGUUCAGCUUUAGCUCUUGUAAACUGUAUGAGCUAACUGUUUUGUUAUCUUUUAUUACAGUAUAGAGUUCACAGAUUUGCUUAUUUGAUGCUGUUUGAUUGCUUGUAUGAUGUUUGUUUGACAGCUUUUAGCUUUAC
rnacentral:lncRNA from 1 species